GCGCUACUGCACUCCAGCCUGGACGACAGAGUUAAACUGUCUCAAAAAAAGAAAAGAAAAGAAAAGAAAGCCAGUUCAGAGUUGGUGUAUGAAAGGAUUAGGUAUCACUGAAUUUUAUUUCACUUAUUUUUAUUAAAUUCUAGGGGGCAGGAGUCUUAUAAAGUAAUAAUCCUAAUAAGUCUUAUACAGUUAUAAUCCUAAUAAAGAUAUUGCUAGAAACAUCAAAGCAAAUGCAAACAUGUUUUUAUUGAUUUUACGUAGACAUUAUUUCUCUGUAACCCACAUUUCAUUUCACUCCAAUCCACUGCCCUAUUGAAGAGCGCUUUCUGCUUUCCCGGUGAGUAUCAGAGUAUUCUACCAUAUUCGUUUUCUGAAGAGAAACAUGUAAGCCUCAAGUAUCCUAUUAGAGGCCUUAUGCUACUUGAGGGUACUCAGUGAGUAUUGCAGGUACAUACGAUGCACUUGUCUGGAAGCCUGUGGAGAAAUGCAAAACGGGGUUUCUAAGCAAUAUUUUCUGUUUUCUUUCUGCUCCAUUUUAAGUUUGUGCUAACUUGCCCCCGACCCCGCAACUGCUCACGACCUCCGGUCAAAGUCAACCUUUCCCACCGCGUGGAGUGAGUUGGGAUGCAUACUCGGGAGUUGCAUAAAAGUGUUUUGAGAAAGGGAGAUGCAGAGUUGAAUAAAAGUGUUUUCCGGGAGGGGCCUAGCGGAAAGCAGCAGGUGGCCGAGGCGGGUGGAACCCAGCACUGGCGUAGAGCGUCUCCGGCGUGGGCAUUCGGUCCAGCGAGUCUGUGGGAAUCUUGGAUGCGCGGAGGUUCCGAGACCGCGGUGACUGACGGGGCUGCAAUCGUGGCCAGCAUAAUUGAUCGCUUAGAUGGAGUUCGUUUGUUGUCCUCCCUGCUGAAAAAUCCUCACCCAGCCGUGAAGGCCAGCGCAGCUUGGGCACUCUGUCCAUGCAUCGAAAAUGCAAAGCUUCUACUGGAUAUGGUUGGGUCCCCUGACCAGGAUCUCCAGGAAGCUGCAGCUGGUUGUAUAUCCAAUAUCCGCAGGCUGGCUCCUGCUACAGAAAAGGCCAGAUACACUUGAAAUUUAAAUGGACAUUACAAGCUAUCAAAUUCUACAUGACACAGGACAUGUCACUCCCAUGGCCAGAAAGCCUAAAUUGGGAAACAUUUAUUAGCAAACCCUUUCAACCGUCUAACCCUUUCAACCGUCUAAAUGAAAACACACAAAUUGAAAAUGCACAGAAUGUUUUUCAUCUGAAAAUUGCAUGGAGACUUUUGUUUCCAUUUAAUGUUUUAGAGAUACGGCAUGUAGUAAGAUGGAAAGCCAAUAAACCUCUGAUAAGUUUCUAAGAACUCGAGAAU
rnacentral:lncRNA from 1 species